rnacentral:rRNA from 1 species
ACGAACGCUGGCGGCGUGCUUAACACAUGCAAGUCGAACGGUGAAGGGACCGGUUUUUGCUGGUUCUGGAUGUGUGGCGAACGGGUGAGUAACACGUGAGUAACCUGCCCCCUUCUUCUGGAUAACCGCAUGAAAGUGUGGCUAAUACGGGAUAUUCUGCGCCUGCUGCAUGGUGGGUGUGGGAAAGAUAUUGUUUCGGUGGGGGAUGGGCUCGCGGCCUAUCAGCUUGUUGGUGGGGUGAUGGCCUACCAAGGCGGUGACGGGUAGCCGGCCUGAGAGGGUGGACGGUCACACUGGGACUGAGACACGGCCCAGACUCCUACGGGAGGCAGCAGUGGGGAAUAUUGCACAAUGGGCGCAAGCCUGAUGCAGCGACGCCGCGUGAGGGAUGGAGGCCUUCGGGUUGUAAACCUCUUUCGCCAGUGAAGCAGGCCUGUCCCUUUUGUGGGUGGGUUGACGGUAGCUGGAGAAGAAGCGCCGGCUAACUACGUG